AUUUUGGUGGCUGAAUUUAGGCAGUAGAUUGUAAAUCUAUUUAUGACUUUAAAGUCUCUU
rnacentral:tRNA from 1 species